rnacentral:rRNA from 1 species
UACGAAGGGUGCAAGCGUUACUCGGAAUUACUGGGUGUAAAGCGUGCGUAGGUGGUUUGUUAAGUCUGUUGUGAAAGCCCCGGGCUCAACCUGGGAAUGGCAAUGGAUACUGGCAAGCUAGAGUGCGGUAGAGGGUAGUGGAAUUCCCGGUGUAGCGGUGAAAUGCGUAGAGAUCGGGAGGAACACCAGUGGCGAAGGCGGCUACCUGGACCAGCACUGACACUGAGGCACGAAAGCGUGGGGAGCAAACAGG